AGGAGCUAUGCCAGCUGACAAAGGAGAAAAGGAAAAUCAAUCAAUAGUCCAACUCAGAUAAGUAUAGCUCUCAACCCUCAUCAAUGAAACUAAUACACACCAUUACAUAAAACCAUAACUGGUCAAAAUGUGAAGAACAACUGUAUAUGAGACUAUGCCCAACCAAGAACAAAAGUAGCAACACUUCUACAAUGAAGACUGGAGGAACUUCAUGGAACAGGAGGUAGAAAGAUUUUCAGGACCAGGGAACCAGGAUUGGAAUUUUGCUCUGAGACAGUAUCUUCUAUACAUGACAGAAAGGAGUCCAAAGAGAAGUGUUGCUCCCAGAAUCCUAGACUGAACUCCACAAAGCACAUCCAGAUAACUGAUUCAGAACUAAUAGGUAGGGGCUUAAUACUUCUACCCAAUUAUUUGAAGAAUCACUAGUAAUCACUGUUCAAAGUCAUUAGCACACAUUGUUGUUCUGGUUAUGCCUGAGUGAAGUCUGUGUUUCUCUUUCUCACUCAUGGUUUCCUUCAACAGGACCGAGUCAUUAGUUAAAUUAUAUAAAUACUACUUUAUUUACCUUCUUCAAUUGUUCGCCUCCCCAGCUUAAAACAGAAGUCAAGCCUGACUCUAAGCUGCAGACACUGGAAGUAUAACACAUUCUCUUGGUUUCUCAUUUUCCCCUUUGGUAUUCAAAAAUAUACUUUCCGGCUUUUGUCUGUGCCUAAAUAUCAGAAAGAUUCAA